rnacentral:tRNA from 1 species
GCGGGUAUAGUUUAGUGGCAGAAUGAUUGCUUCCCAAGCAAUAGGCCCGGGUUCGAUUCCCGGUACCCGCACCA